rnacentral:rRNA from 1 species
UACGUAGGGGGCAAGCGUUGUCCGGAAUCAUUGGGCGUAAAGAGCGCGUAGGCGGUCCGGUAAGUCGGUUGUGAAAACUGGGGGCUCAACCCUCAGAGGCCGACCGAUACUGUCGGGCUAGGACGUCGAAGAGGCGAGUGGAAUUCCUGGUGUAGCGGUGAAAUGCGCAGAUAUCAGGAGGAACACCGAUGGCGAAGGCAGGUCUCUGGGCAUUAACUGACGCUGAGGAGCGAAAGCAUGGGGAGCGAACAGG